rnacentral:pre_miRNA from 1 species
UCACAUUUUCUAUCUAGACCAGUGAUUCCCAAUCUUUUUUUCUGAUUGUUGGGAAUCACUGGUCUAGAUAGAAAAUAA